GAGCGUUCGUGUCCCAGGAAUUCAUGUACGCACUCCUUGGGAGCACUGUACAGCGCUGAGCCAUGGAAAACACACCCAUCAUAGAGAGAACAGUUGUAACUGCAGUGACACCAGUACUCCAUAUGGACAAGCAGUGGACUUCUGGGGUGACAGAGGACCUGCAGUGGAAGUAAAGGCAUGAAUGGUUGUCCUCAGGCCUGCAGGUUAAGAAGCAUCUAGAAGACAAACCAGACUCUCCCCAGACUCUCUGUGUAACACACAGCCUACCAAAGAAUUCCUCUGGCCCGGUGUGCUGUGUGGGUGAAAGAAACGAGUUUGUCCUGCCUCGCUGCUCUCUUCUUGGCCUGAGAUCAGCACGUUGUUGAGCACGCAGCAGAUCGUGACCAGAGGCAAUGGCCUCUUUCAACAGCCCAGUAACACGUGCUGGGUUGAGAGCUGCUGACUUUAAAGGUGAGAAUGGUGAGGCACUGAGGAUUCCUGACUGGCAACUGCUCUCCACAUGAGCAUACAGCAGGGCACCUCACACACGUUUGACAAAGAAAGUUUGCAAAUAAAGAACUAGCUAUGGGGAAGCACAAAGGCAUUGCACUAGAAGGGAGACCUGUAGACAUGGUUAGAUAUAGCUACCAUAUCCAGGUUGCCUUAGAUUGGUUGUCUGUCCUUUUUUCCAACCAGAAUUGUUUCCCAGGGAGAUUCCGAGAACUGUGUAUGUUUAGGAUUUUGAAUGUGUAUGUCUAGGAUUCUUGGUAUCUAAUCAUCUCAUCAUGUUAUUGCAUACGUGCAGCAAGCAGUCUCAACCUUGGAUGUCCCAUGUCCAGCAAUCCCAGAGACCUCAGAGCAAACACCAUAGGCCCAUAUUCUAUAGGCAGUGUAAUGCCAACAAAACUAAGGGAGUGCUCUGCUACUCCUACAAAGUGUUGCAUGAACAGACCACACAGUUACUUUGAGCAUUUCCAGCAAGUACAAGGCUUUCUGUACUCACAUGAUGCAACUGGAGCACCUUUAUUUGUAUCAGAAAUAGAGUAGCCAAAGGGUGGGAUAAAGAGCCACCAGAGCAGUAUCCCAGCCAACUGGCUGCUGUACAUUGGCUUUCACAACUAAUACACCUCUUCCUCCCUCCCUUGUGGUGUGCAGCCACCACCUUCCAGCUGCUGCAAACCAGUUUCCCCUGCUAAAUAGCAAUUGCCAAGAACUUUCCUCGGUAACAGCGGCAGCUUCUGAAGUGAAGCUUAAGAACAGAAAGGGAGUACUAGCAAUGGCCUGCUCAGGUGAGCUGCAGAACAGAGAUUUAGCAACACAAGGCAAAAAAUAGCAGUGUAUUCCAGAUCAACACAUAUGCAUAGCAAAGGUAGGGAGGACAGGGAGGUAUCACUGUAGCAUUUGCAGGUAGCAGCAUAAUUCUAUUGGCUUCUGCUGAAUCAUCUUAUUUGUACUACGUAAGAGAAAAAUAGGGCUGUGCUUUUCACCUAUUCUUUAAUUACAACUUCUUGAUUAUAUUGAUGAUUUUCAACUUCAUGUCAAUUAAACCCAUUAAUUCCAUAAAUGAAGAGCAAAUUUGGAUAAAAUGGAUGGGAUUUGUUACAACAGGGUAGUAAAUGGAAGGCAGCCCAAGAUAAGUAGUCAAAGUCUGCAGUAAUCUACCCUCAGCUGAGUUGUACACACCUGUUCCAUACCCUUCUCCUUCUGGAAUUAACUUUCAGAGUGGCACUUCAAGUACGGUAAAAAUUUGUUGUCAGAUGACUGCUCCCACUAAAAUCUGCAAGAGGGAUGUGACCAUGAAAGAAAAGUACACAGUAACCUUUCCAAAGUAUGCCUGUAAUUUCAGAAUUGUGUUUUCCCAGAGCUGAGCCUCCUUCUGCCAAGAAUGAAGCCUUUAUCAUGGUUGCUGUAUUGAAAAGUGAGACAUAGGUGAGAAAGAAAAAUACUUUUAGAGCAUUUGAAGAUUAUUUCAGUUAUAGUUUUAAAUUUAUACAGGAUGUAACUAACAUUUCUGUCUGAAUUUACCCACUGUAGUAAGAAUAGAUCUUAAUGAAUGUUUAAAGCCUGAGCAGUUUAUGAAAGAAAUUAUAUAACAUAGUGUUAUAGAAGCAGUGGAUUGAAUUCAGUGACCUAAAAAAUGCUUACAUUUAUUUCUGUCUUAGGAAGUUCCUAGGUCUACCUGUCAGCAGCAGGACAUAUUCCCAGGAAAUCAAUUAUACAUGUAAACAAAAAUAUCAUGGAGAUUAAAGAACAUAUGAAAGACCAAGCACAGUUCUUCUUUCACAACACCGUGAAUCAAGAGUAACUUCACUGAAGCCAAUGAGUUAUAGCAGUGUGAGUGAGAAAAGAACCAGCUCCAUUGCCUGAAAAUUACUUGGGCCACCCAUGGAGUCCAAUCAGAGGAACUGCAGGCAGAUAAUAUUACAGCAUUUAAUUCAGAAAUCCCAAGUCUGAAUAGAGGAGACUGAAAAGAAAGGAACUGAAUUUGAUUUUGGUUUUUAAAAAAACCCUGAAAAAUAGCAGGAAAAUGGUGAAUGGAAACAAAAAAAAAUUACUCCAUUUCUAAAAAAAUCUCUCUCCAAAAAACAAUUUGCAUAGACCAAAGAACAAAUCUGUAUGCUUUGGGCUUUUUUUAACACCAUGCGGGUACCCAGUUAACAGUGGCUGAGCUGUAUGCUUCCCUGAAGGCAAAGUGUUAUCUUGGCUUUCCAAACAGCAGACACAUUUUGUGAGUUGAUGCACACUGUGCUACACCUACCAGAGGAGUGCUGCAGAACGAGGGUCAGACCUUUCCAGCACAGGUCACUGUAACAUAUCCUACCACAUUUUUAGGUAGUAACAUACCUUCACUUUCCCUGCUUUAGUUUACUCCCUCUAAACACACGCUCCAUUUUUCAUCUGAGGUCAGCGAGUUGAACUUUCCCAGCUCCUGUCACCUCCCACUUGAGAGCAUUUCUGCCAGUAGUAUUUACUGUCCGUAAGAGAACAAAGGCUUGUUUCUGGAAAGCUGUCUGUUCACCAACCUCUUCCUGUCCCUUCUUCAGUUUUCUUCCAGUUUUUCUGUCUUCUCCAUUUGUGUCUCUCACCACACACUGUCUCUUUCAUCUAUUUACACCUCACCUGCAGCAUUACCCUCUGAAUUGGUAUUAUUGUCCUGAUUAUAACUGUCCAGAAGCUACUGAGGACCUCUAAAAGAAGGACAUUGUGAGCUUACCAUGCUGCACUAGAAGCCCCUACAUGGAUGCACCAUGUCAGCAUUAUGACAAGAUGUCAAAUCACAUUAAGACAGAUGUGCUGAGUAUUAUUCACAGAAUUCACAGGAACACCAUCUCUCUUUCUUUUCCAGGUCACUGUCUCCCCUUUUUUUCCCCCUCUUCUACUUUAUAUUCUAUUUUUACUAUCACGUUUUCCUUUUAUGUCACUUUAUUUUCUUCCUCCCCACAGUUAUCCUCCCCGGCUUCCUUCAGUGUCCACCUCACAUUCCUCCAUGCAUUUUCUUCCCUCUGAUGUGCCUGCACAAAGGAGUAUAAUGGAGGCAGUACUGCAGCUUUGUUAAAUAUCUCCUUGGCUCUUCAGUAAACAAAGCUACUGGGUGCAUCUUUGGGAUCUGCAAACCAGAAAGGUCUAGAGAAAGUGUUUCAUUCCCAAAGGAUUAAGCCAGAGAGCUCUGAGAUUUUAGAAAACUUCUUGGUUCCCUAAUCUCCAACAUGAAGCACACCACAAACAGCAGGAGGAAUUCUGAAAACCCGAUUCUUUUCUUCACAAGCACAUAUUUCCUUUUGCUUUGUGAACUGAGGCUCUUAGCAACAAGAGAACAGGGUAGUGACUAGAAUUUGAUAAUGUCAGAACAGCAGAAAAUUAAAAAAUAUGUACUUUGUAAUGGCAUACAAUUGGAAAGAAUAAAAUUAGUGCCAAGCAGUCCUAAAAUCAAACAAAAUGUUUCCCAAUAAUUCAACAUACAGAGGGUCAGAAAGCAAUCUGGGUUUUAACAUUCUGUCUGGUAAUUAAAAUCAGCAUAAUUCAAGUGCAGAACAAGUGCUUGUUGAUACAAGGUAUUUUGUUUUUUGUGAUAGCAUCAGACUUUCAGGUAAAAAGAGAGAGCACGUGCUUUGGAUGGCAUCACUCAUCUGUAUGCUAAAGAUAGCUUCUAAGCCUCGCUUAGCUCAGUCUGAACUUUGGCACAACCACAGCAGCUGCACAGCGUGUCACUGUGCCUCCUUCAGCACACACCACAGCAGGGAAAGAAUGGUUGGUAAGGAUAUUUUAAUGGCAGAUGUGUUAGCCUGAACAGGUCAAGUAGCUUCUUCGGACAAUAAUUCCCUCUGAAUACUCUAUCAAUUUUUUUUCAGAUUUUUCCAAAAACUUUCUAUCAUGUUUAGUGAUUUUUUUUAUCUUCUCUUGAUCUGCGAAAGCCUUGAGGAAACAAGGAAGGAAAAUUGCUUGAUGACACAAGGAAACAACAAAACCUGCUCCAUAUUCACUUUAUAUAUGUCUAAAUGCUGUAGAAAUCAAAUUUUAAAAACUGAAUAAGAAAGCAAGAAAUUGUUUUCCACAUAGUUCUCAAAAGCAGCAGUCAAUAGUAUUUGUAAUAAUUAUAAUUUUUUCAGAGAAUGUGAUUUCAAAAUCUAUAAUUCUUAAAUAUUAAAACUUUUAAAUUUCAUAUUUGGGGAUAGAUAUUAAAGUGGUGUCAUAUAUUGUUUCAAAAGUAAAUAUAAUUUAUGUCUUAAUUUUGUCAGUUUAGGAGGUCCAGAAUGUAUUAUUCAUUAUUCCUUUAUUACUAAUUAUGAAUUCUAGCAAAAACCCCACUUUUAGCACAGCUACUUGUUAAUAUUGUGAUUAUUUUCUAAUUUUGCAUUGGCACUAUUACAGAUUCUUACCUAGGGUUUAACUGUUAGUCAGCACUGAUAUCAGAAGCUGUAGUAAUUCCCCUCCCAAGGCCUUGUUCUGUAUAUUAAUUCAUACAGACAUGUUCCUUUGUACAAUUCUAGUCAUAGGAAGGAUAAAAUGCUCUAUAAUGUUCUUUCAAAUCUAAGAUUUAAGACAGCAGUCCUGGUAAAAACAUACAAAAAGACAAGAAACUACAUUAAAUACAGCAGUGCUAAUGUACAGAAAGAAAACUUGCCUUUCAAAUCAAGUGAAGAAUUUUUUUUAGGCUUCUACUUCCAAUGACACUUUUCAACACCAUACCUUACUGAUUAGACAAAUACCAGAAAAAUAUUGACUACAAAACCCAAGAAUACCUAAAAAUAAAGAAAAUACAAAAUUAAUCCUAAUUCUGUAUGUGAGAUAUAUAGAGAUAGAUAGAUAGAUAGAUAGAUAAAUAGAUAGAUAGAUAGAUAGAUUGAUUGAUUGAUUUAAAAAAGCUAAGGUGGAAGAGUUUCACCAUGAAAAUAUAUCAUGCAAACAUGAUAAGUGGAUUUGAACAGUCACUUUGUGAAUUGCACCAAAUAGAUUGUCUAACUGAAUAAAUUGCAGAAAAAUUGCAUUGUGACAUACACAAAUUAGAACAUCAUGGUUGUAGCUUUUUCAUUGUUGUCCAUUUCCUUUUAUUUUGUUGUAAACAUACACAUUUUUCUGUGAUAACUCCACUGGGACUGCUCAAAGAACCAGCAUUUCAACACCUGCUCAUCUGAUUUGCUGAAUAAGGGACAUUACACAUCUGGAGUGCCUGUGGAGAUGUCCUCUUGUUCUAUUUGGAAAUUAUGCUCCAGUGGAAACAGGAAUCUCACCACUGAAAGUGGAAACUUUACAAUUAAAGGCACUGGAGUCGACCAACUAACUCUCUUGACACCUCAACGACACAUUAAAUUCACAGUAGCUAAUGCAAAUGGUUUAUAAUUUCCUAGCAUUCAUUAAAACUGUAAUAAAGGCAAGGACAUUCUUUUCUUGUACUGUCAAACAGAGAGAGAAUAGUAUUACACAUCACCUGUGGUUGAUGAAGAAAAUGUGAGGCAUAUCUGUUUUUAAAUCUUAUCACAUAAUUAAAACCGGUAAAGUACAGUGCAGAGGGCAAAUUAUGUUGGCAAUAGCUGGACUUUAGACUGUGUCAGCUUUUUCUUAACAGGGUUUCCUAUGGUUGAUACCUUAUAUAUUUUAACUAAACAGAUAGAAGAAAAAAAAAGAAUUUCAUAUUUUGAAAUCAUAAUAUUUUGUCUCCCAAGUAUUAUACACAAAUAUACAGAAAUUACAACACUGAGAUACCUUUGGCAGCCCUUGCAAACUCUGCAAAGAAUUCAAUUUAUCUCCAUUGAGAGCUAGUGGAGUCAUUACAUUCAAUUGAUUUAAAUAGUACUUAAAUAGAUCAAAUCCCUAAAUCCACAGCCAUACCUGGCAACAUCCCCAAAGCAAUAGUCAACAAAUUAUAUAUUUUUAAACACAUCUGCAUGAAUAAAAGAUGGAAGAUAAAUGGAAGGAAAAGAACAUGAAAUACAGUGUAGAGUAAAACCAGAAGGUAUCUUCCCUUCUCUUUUAAUAUGACCAGUUAUUUCAAGUCCAGCAUAGCAUUAAUCCAAUGCUAGACCUUUAGAACCCUAAACAGCUCAGAAAAUUAUCCUCACUUUCAACUGAGUAGCAUUUCCUUGCGGAGAAGGGUGUCAGUUCUGCUGCAUUUUGCAUGCUCAUAAGGAGGCAGGGGAGAGAACACAGAAGGAUGAGAUGCCCUCUCCUCAAGCCUAAGAGUGCUGAGGGCUGGGCACUCAAAGCCAGAGCUGUGACAGCAGCAGCAGCCCCACAGCUGCCUGGAUUUCAGAGAAAGGAAAAGCUGUGCACCCAACACAAGCUGAUAGCUUGGUCUCAUCUAUCUCCCUGCACAAGCAGUGGUCACGUUUUCUUACAGCAGGAACCCAGGAAAGGCUAAACCAAUGUGCAUUUCUCUUCAUCAACCUUACAGAUGCUUUCAUGGCAAGCUCAGGAAAACCCCAGUCAAAAAGCAGCAGUGAAUAGGUAGAGAAUCCUACAUCCUAACCCUCAAGUAUCCUGCAAGUUUCAUUUAACAUUACAGAUCAGAAAGCAGAUUUCCAGGAGAUUAAAAAUAGACUUCAAAUCUAUUUUUAGGUGUGUUUUUAAAAAAGGCUUCAUUUUUAUAGGCCAAGUCGCCUGAGGCACCCAAGUGACCUCCAGGGCACUCAGUAUUUUUAAGGAGUGAAACAGCAGUCUCUUUCUCCUGGCCUCUUGAACAGACAGAAGAGCAUUAUUUUACAUUAUGUUACAGGGACUGCUUCCUGAACACACUACCCAGAAAUUACGAGUUGCAUGAUGCAAUUUCAGUGCUGUCUACUACAAAAGUUUCUGCUUCAUAAAAGCACACCCAGAAUGCACCCAAAUGGUUACAACACUUUGUGUCAUCAAAGCCACAUGCACCAGCCCUCCAGACACACUCAGAUGUAGCAGGUUAAAGAAACAUUGGCUGGCAGUGUGGCUCAUGACUGUAAGAGAAAAAUAUUCUCCUUACAAAUUGCUACUUUGAUACUAAAUUAAUACAUGGUAUUUAGACCCAAACAAAUUUCUAAAAACAACCUACUCUCCUACUUCUAACAACUGUAUUCAGAAAACUUGACAUUGCCAACAAGAGGGAAAUGUAGUAGUGAAGGAUACCUCAUUUAUUGAGCUGAUGUAAACUCACAACUACUUUGCUGUCUAUGCCUGAAAAUUAAAAUGUAAAGAAAAGCAAAUGGGAAUGGGAAAAAAUAAAAAGUUUUAAAAGUUUU